CCGGCCCGGCCGCAUCAGCACCCCGGACCCCCCCGGCGCGCGGCAUCAUCAUCCGGGGCUGCCGCUCCACAUCACCACCCAGGGCCGCUUCCCCGGCUCAUCUCGCCGCCUCAGCCCGCCCGGCUGCAACGCCGCGCUCCCCCGCUCUGCCGGCCCAGAAGUCCUUGUGGCACAGGAGCCAUGCUGCUUGCAGAUGUUUAGAGAAAUUGGAUUCAGUGAGUUCUGUAGAAAUCUUCUGCUUACCUUUUAAUCUUCUGGAGAAGCUGGACUGGAACGUGGAAGCUCAGGGGAGACCUUCCCACAGGUAUUUGUAUUCAGUGCCGUUGUAUGCAUCUUUGCUGCAUUUUCCUCGUUAGGGAAGGGACUCGUUCGUGUUGGUUUUGCUUUUCAGUCAGCAGGGGUGCAGGUAUUCAGGGUUCAGCCAAAGGAAGAUUCCAAAGGGAGUUUUAGGGGUGGCUGCGGCCGGCUUUCCCAGAGUUGGUUUCUUUAAUUUUGGUUUUGUGCCCUAAACAAUUUGACACUGUUUUUUGACCCAGGAUUUAGCAAGACAAUCCCGAAGUAAAGUUCCUUUGCUGUUAUUGCUGGGAAUGUUUUUGCUCUGUUGCCUGGAAAGGCCGACCUGGAACAGAGACUAGACAGAGUAAAAGGAAUAAAAGAGGUAUUUAUUGAAAGGAUACACUUUGGGGCAGUGCGACAUCCCGGCCAGGACUACACCCAAGUCAGAUUCCACAUGGAUGCCAGUAACAAGUCUUUACACUUUUAUAAGUUUUGGUUCAUCUCCAUAUUGGGGUUUAUUAUCCAGCCAUAGCCUCAGGCUAUGAACUCCCAGCCCCCUGGCUUGCUCCCUUUCCCUCACCGUUGCUUUUGCUUUUUUGGGUAUCGCUUGUCCUUGAUUGUCUAGCUAGAAAGGAAUUGUUUUGUCUAACUAUCCUGUAAAGAGAACUUACUAACACCUAAUAUGAAGUUUCACAGUUACACACUAAGCAGCAGAGAUUCUGAAAAAUACAAAAGCUAAAACUUUUAAAGCUCCAAGGUGUGAGCUCCAAGUCCCUCCGUACCUGAGGACUCAAAGGUGUUCGGGUGUGACAGCAGAUGGGAAACCUGUGAUGUGCAAGUCACCCAGUUGGAAGCGGUGCUGGAGCUUGGAGUGUGAGGGACUGGGACCAGGGAAAAAGGCAUCAAGUGAGUGGUGUGCCCUGGGGACAGGCGGAGCCUGUCCUUACCCGUCUGCCAGGAGCAUCUGAAGGAAAGCAAACACAGAGAUUGAGCCACAAGGAACCUGCCAGAAGCAGGCCUUCAUUGCAUACGUGGGAUUUCAGUUUGCUCUCGGACUCUUCCCUCCAAUCUUCUCUCGAGUUCUUGUUCCAGAGGGGCUCUGACAAGAGGUGCGUUACCUUGAUAAAUGGGAAUGAGAUUGGCCAAGUCUGUCAGGAAAGCAAAACCAUCCCCGAGGUUUGUUUGGCCAAAGACGGACCAUGACAACGUCCAUACUGGCGGAGGCUGUGAGUGCUGAUACUUUUUGGUGGUGUGGUGCCUCUGGCCCCUUACAAGUCAGGGCGAGGCUGAAGGAAGGAGGGAAGCUGCCACAGCUGCAGUGGUGCAGUGAGGAGCAAGUUGCUGGCUUAUGUGAUUUCUGACUGAGCUGCCACAGAAACAGGCAUCUGUGUGUGUACAUGCUUCCUGGCAAAUCCAGAUGUGACGUGGAAAUCCUAGGGGAGGAUUUCCAGCCUUGACCACGCGUGACACAGGCUUGUGAAAAUGGAAAUGGCCUUGGCAGAAGAGCAGCUGUGAAGUGAAGCAGAACUGCAAUACAGUUGUUUCCAGGUGCUGCCCAGGAUGGACAUCUGUGGCCUCAGACAGCGAUUGCCUAGGAGGAAGGGGAGGCUUUGCACAGCUCACCUGCACAGCUCUGGUGGAUGGGACAGGAUUGGUGUGGCCUGAGAAGGCAUGAACAGCUGUCUGUGUUCUGCAGUGCCUUGAAACCUUUCUCUGUCAGGACCGGAGAAACGUUUCCACUCCUCCCGUCUUUGCCAAAAGCUGUGGUGUUUGAGGAGCCAGAGCCAAGAGGCUUCAGCACCAGGGCUCUGCACUGGAGGGCUCCCGGUCCUGACCGCACAGGGUUCCCCUUUUCCUCCCCGCUGGGAUGAAGUGUCUAUGGCAUCUGGGUGAAACUGCGGCUCUGCUGGUAUCCAGGCACGUGAGGUCCGGGGGACUGCAUUUCCCUGUGGCUUUCCAGGUCGGCAGGAGCCAGAGGAAAUGGGGUGCCAGAGCCGUGCCCCAUCAGGCCGUGUUUGCCUCUGAGGAACAGAGAGUCCGGGCUGAGGAGCUGACAGAAAUGUAGGUUAAGCCUUAGAAGUUGGGUCCAUUGACUGCAGCAGCUCGCCGAGGCUGGAGGACUGGGGUGAUGGCUGCUCCCAGGAAAGGUUACUUAUUUAUUGAUACUGUGUCAGAUCUCCCUCAGCGACUGCCAGCCCGGAAUGGCUGGAGAAGAGGACGAACUCCCAGCCAUUCAGGCCUGACAGUCCCCUGCAGCGAGAGCUCAGCACGCAUCCCCAGAGGCAAGUCCAGCAGGAGAAAGAAGGAAAAAAGCUGUUUUUCUAUUCCUUACUUGCAUUCCCAUCGGGGCCGUGUGGCUUGGAGCUCGGGAGCUGGAUCUGUUACUUACCCACAUCAGAUUGGUGUGCACUGGUUCAGGAGGAUGAGGAAAAAAGGCUGCAGAGCUUCCUGCAAGGGGCUGUAAGUGCAAAUAAAGAGGAGCCAGAGGUUUAGUUGAUAUGAAGCACUAGUUCUGAAAAGAGCCUGAUGGAUUUGCUGAUACCAAAAACAGUAGGAAUAGGAGACUGAACUCGGGCAUGGGGAUGGUCUCCUUGGCUUUAAAAAGCUUUAAUGGCUUUAAAAGGCAUUUCUGUCAGACGUGGUUUAUUUGUAUUACCUUUCAUUAAAUUUUAAAAUAAAAAAGCCCCCGCUCCAUCA